AGGGUUUGAUCAUGGCUCAGAACGUACGCUGGCGGCACGCCUAACACAUGCAAGUCGAGCGAGGUAGCAAUACCUAGCGGCAGACGGGUGCGUAACAUGUGGGAAUCUGCCUUUUGGUUCGGAAUAACACGGGGAAACCUGUGCUAAUACCGGAUAAGUCCUUACGGAGAAAGUUUUAAUGCCAAAAGAUGAGCCCGCAUUUGAUUAGUUUGUUGGUGAGGUAAUGGCUCACCAAGACUACAAUCAAUAGCUGAUUUGAGAGGAUGAUCAGCCACACUGGGACUGAGAUACGGCCCAGACUCCUACGGGAGGCAGCAGUGGGGAAUCUUGCACAAUGGGCGAAAGCCUGAUGCAGCGAUGCCGCGUGAGUGAAGAAGGCCCUUGGGUUGUAAAGCUCUUUUGUCGGGAAAGAUAAUGACUGUACCCGAAUAAGAAGGUCCGGCUAACUUCGUGCCAGCAGCCGCGGUAAUACGAAGGGACCUAGCGUAGUUCGGAAUUACUGGGCUUAAAGAGUUCGUAGGUGGUUGAAAAAGUUGGUGGUGAAAUCCCAGAGCUUAACUCUGGAACUGCCAUCAAAACUUUUCAGCUAGAGUAUGAUAGAGGAAAGCAGAAUUUCUAGUGUAGAGGUGAAAUUCGUAGAUAUUAGAAAGAAUACCAACUGCGAAGGCAGCUUUCUGGAUCAUUACUGACACUGAGGAACGAAAGCAUGGGUAGCGAAGAGGAUUAGAUACCCUCGUAGUCCAUGCCGUAAACGAUGUGUGUUAGACGUUGGAAAUUUAUUUUCAGUGUCGCAGCGAAAGCGAUAAACACACCGCCUGGGGAGUACGACCGCAAGGUUAAAACUCAAAUGAAUUGACGGGGACCCGCACAAGUAGUGGAGCAUGUGGUUUAAUUCGAAGAUACGCGCAGAACCUUACCAACACUUGACAUGUUCGUCGCGACUCUAAGAGAUUAGAGUUUUCGGUUCGGCCGGACGAAACACAGGUGCUGCAUGGCUGUCGUCAGCUCGUGUCGUGAGAUGUUGGGUUAAGUCCCGCAACGAGCGCAACCCUCACUUUUAGUUGCCAUCAUUAAGUUGGGCACUCUGAAAGAACUGCCAGUGAUAAGCUGGAGGAAGGUGGGGAUGACGUCAAGUCCUCAUGGCCCUUACGUGUUGGGCUACACACGUGCUACAAUGGUAUCUACAACAGGAAGCAAGACUGCGAAGUUAAGCAAAUCCCUAAAAGAUACCUCAGUUCGGAUUGCACUCUGCAACUCGAGUGCAUGAAGCUGGAAUUACUAGUAAUCGUGGAUCAGCGUGCCACGGUGAAUGCGUUCCCGGGUCUUGUACACACCGCCCGUCACACCAUGGGAGUUGGUUCUACCUUAAGGCAAGGUUUCAAACCCUUGACCACGGUAUAGUCAGCGACUGGGGUGAAGUCAUAACAAGGUAACCGU
rnacentral:rRNA from 1 species